AUUGAACGCUGGCGGCAGGCCUAACACAUGCAAGUCGAACGGUAGCACAGAGAGCUUGCUCUCGGGUGACGAGUGGCGGACGGGUGAGUAAUGUCUGGGAAACUGCCUGAUGGAGGGGGAUAACUACUGGAAACGGUAGCUAAUACCGCAUAACGUCGCAAGACCAAAGAGGGGGACCUUCGGGCCUCUUGCCAUCAGAUGUGCCCAGAUGGGAUUAGCAGUAGGUGGGGUAACGGCUCACCUAGGCGACGAUCCCUAGCUGGUCUGAGAGGAUGACCAGCCACACUGGAACUGAGACACGGUCCAGACUCCUACGGGAGGCAGCAGUGGGGAAUAUUGCACAAUGGGCGCAAGCCUGAUGCAGCCAUGCCGCGUGU
rnacentral:rRNA from 1 species